rnacentral:misc_RNA from 1 species
GGCAAAGUGACGCCGAACGCGGUGUUUGUGCGCUCGCGAUCGUUUUCCUUAUGGGUGUUUCGUCUUGUAUUAUGGUGUUCCGGUGCUUAAUUGGGGCGAUUCGGCCGACUUCCGUCGAGGUUUCUUCUACUUCCGAUUUUGUUAACUACGGCGGCGACUUCAAGAGUGGGGAGCACAACGAAGAGUGUUGCCGAGGUAUUGAGCACUUGGAGCUGUGGGGUGAUGCUGUGAAAUGGGGUUCUGAUUUUAAGCUCAAUUCGUCGAGAGAGUGUUGUUUGGCUUGUAAAGCUAUGUGUGAUGAUCAAAGUGGAGGGUGUUUUUGUGAUUCUUGGGUGUUCUGUGGUGACGCUAAGGCUUGCGGACCAAUGUUUGGUGAGUUUUACCUGCGUGCUAGUGCUGGUUGAAGAAACAAAAGGAUAUGCUGCGCCCCGACCAAAGGGCCUCAGGAGAUCAAGUCAUGUGGACUUCUGGCCUCAUGUUUGGGAAAAAUGAGGGAAUUAUUCG